rnacentral:rRNA from 1 species
UACAGAGGGGGCAAGCGUUGUUCGGAAUUACUGGGCGUAAAGGGCUCGUAGGUGGCCAACUAAGUCAGACGUGAAAUCCCUCAGCUUAACUGGGGAACUGCGUCUGAUACUGGAUGGCUUGAGUUUGGGAGAGGGAUGCGGAAUUCCGAGGUGUAGCGGUGAAAUGCGUAGAUAUCUGGAGGAACACCGGUGGCGAAGGCGGCAUCCUGGACCAACACUGACAUCUGGAGGAGCGAAAGCCAGGGGAGCGAAACG